rfam:Schistosoma curassoni strain Dakar, Senegal genome assembly, scaffold: SCTD_scaffold0004148
AUCUAGUUGACGAGUCCCAAAUGGAAUGAAACACGUAUCCUAGAU